AUGUUGGUGGACCAAUUUGGUAGAUUGAAGGCUCUGAACCCUGCAUUUUUCUUUGAAUAUGAAGUUGACGAGGUCGGUACAUUGAUUCGUUUAUUCUGGACGGAUGCAUCAAGUAGGAAAAACUAUGGGCAUUUCAGCGAUGUCGUAUCUUUUGAUUCGACAUACAUCACUAACCAAUAUGAAUACACCUUUGCGCCCUUCACUGGAGUAAACCAUCACAUGCAAAGUGUCUUUUUUGGGGCGGGGUUUCUACUUCAUGAGACAGAAGAAUCCUAUAUUUGGUUGUUCAGGUCAUUUCUUAGAGCAAUGUGUGGGAUUGCGCCUAGAGUGAUCAUAACUGAUGAAUGUGUUAGGAUGAAAAAUGCAAUCGAAAAAAUUCUACCGAACACGACACAUAGAUUGUGCAUGUGGCACAUUAUGGAAAAGGUUCCAGGGAAGGUACGCCCGGAAUUGAGGAAUGACCUUGUGUUCUAUGAUAGGCUGAAACAUUGUGUGUGGAAUUCUGAAACACCUGCUGAAUUUGAGGAUAGAUGGCAACCUUUCAUCAUAGAGUUUCAGUUGGAGGAUCACGAGUGGUUUGCCAAAAGAUAUAAGCUUCGUGCGACAUGGAUACCAGCUUACUUUAUGGACAUUCACCUAGCUGGUCUACUCAGGACAACUUCUAUUUCAGAGAGUGCAAAUUCAUUUUUUAAACGUUUCAUUCGUCGCAAGCUUACCUUUGUUGAGUUUUGGCUAAGGUUUGACACUGCUUUGAAAUGUCAAAGGCAAAGUGAGCUGAUUGCUGAUAACACAAGUGAAUACACAACAAGUGAGUUGUUGACAUCAUGGGAAAUAGAGAGACAAGGUAGGGCGCUAUUCACCCAUGAGGUUUUUGAAUUGUUUCAGGCUCAGGUGCUUGCUGCCAGAGAUGAUUGUGAUGUUCAGCAGACAGAAAAUCGUGAGGGGAUUAAAAUCAUGUUUGUCAGUGAUCAAUACAAGAAGAUUAGAGAAGUGUGUUAUGACACAACAUCCAUGACUGCUAAAUGUUCUUGCAAGCUUUUUGAGUCCAAGGGAAUUGUGUGCCGUCACAUUAUUAGGGUAUUGAGGGGUGCGAAAAUAAAUGAAUUGCCAAGCCUUUAUAUUCUUAAGCGAUGGCAGAAAAAUUGCAAAAGGGACAUUGUCUAUGAUGGGGAAGGGAAUGUGCUUGAAGAAAAUUUAACAGAUCAGGUUGACAUUGUUGUGAAAAGGAAGAUAGUUGCUGUGAGGGACAAGCUAGAAGAUCUCAUACAAAAAUCCAAACGCUCCAUGGAAGGAAUUGAAUUCCUGCACAAUAGUUUGUGUGGCAUUGAGUUGGGUUUAGCCCAACUAGUUUCGACCGUGCCAUGCAAUACACAAGAAAAUGAGGAGUCGUGUAUUGGGAGUGUCAUUCCAAAGGAUGUUACCAUCCUCACACCUAAGGAUAUCAAUGCAAGGGGCACAUGCUCUAGAAUAAAGGGCCAUAGGGAUGGUGCAAGGAGUGGAUCCGGUGAGAAGAGAAGGCCUGGAAUUCAUCAAAAAGUCGCACGCAAAUGCAGCAUUUGUAAGGAAAUGGCGUUUCAUGAUGCAAGAACAUGUUCUAAGAAACAAAAAACAAAACAAUAG
rnacentral:rRNA from 1 species